UACGUAGGGGGCAAGCGUUGUUCGGAAUUACUGGGCGUAAAGCGCGUGUAGGCGGUUGUUCAAGUCAGGUGUGAAAGCCUUGAGCUCAACUCAAGAAAUGCACUUGAUACUGGAUGACUAGAGGACCGGAGAGGAUAGUGGAAUUCCCAGUGUAGUGGUGAAAUACGUAGAGAUUGGGAAGAACACCAGUGGCGAAGGCGGCUAUCUGGACGGUUUCUGACGCUAAGACGCGAAAGCGUGGGGAGCAAACAGG
rnacentral:rRNA from 1 species